GGGGAAGCCGAGGCCCGGCGCCGUAUCCUGUGGCCGUUUUACCCGCGGGAAAGUCGAGGCCCGGCGCCGUAUCCUGCCGCCCGUUUUACCCGCGAGGAAGCCGAGGCCCGGCGCCGUAUCCUGCCGCCCGUUUUACCCGCGGAGACGCCGAGGCCCGAUGCCGUAUCCUGCCGCCCGUUUUACCCGCGGGAAAGCCGAGGCCCGGUGCUGUAUUCUGCCGCCCAUUUUACCCGCGGGGAAGCUGAGGCCCAGUGCUGUUUAAUAUCUUACUCAUGUUCACUUGAUGAGAAAGUGACAGAUCUGAGACAAACCCAGUUCUAGAGGUUAUGACACCAGCCAUGGAAGAGCAGAGAGGCCAAUGAGGUGGGGAGGUUGGAAACAAAAGGCCUUCUCCACCCCAGCUUGACCAACCCAAAAGCUGGAAGGCAAGGAAGACCUAGAUCGACAGAAAAGAAAUGAGUCAACGAUGGUGCAGAAAGGGACCAGCUUGACGAAGCUUCUGCUUUUGUGACUGUCUCCUAAUGGAUCUGGGGGUUUCUUCAAGCUCCCAGACUUGCUCAGGCACAUUGCAAAUAGCCAUGAUUUGAGAUGAUUUUCUUUAAUGCUGAAGCAGAUGAAGAACCCAGGUUCUUUUUAGUGGCAAGGCUUGUUUAUCAGCAGCUAUACAGCUAUGGGCACAGACACAGGUAAACAGCACAGAUGCUGGGAGAGGGCUGGCAUCUGACCGUGACCAUCACGCCCAUGUGACAAAGGAUGUCACCACAGUGAACAGUUCUGACCACAGUGGCUUUUCACCUGCUUCGUUAAAUUUAACUCACACCGGCUCAGAGGACAAUUUGAUUCAUUCUGUAUCUCAGCAGAAACCAGAGCACCUCAGAAGAUCAAGGCUUCCAAAUUCUCCUGGGGGAACAGACGUCAGCCAUUCAGCACAAAGGAAACUUCCUUCUCUGUAUGUCAGAGGAAGACAUAAUUGUGCCAUUUCCUUCUUGAAGAAGUUUACAAACAUUUGCAAGUUGUCAAAAAUAAUUAGUCUAAAAUUGUUUCAUAAACCGUGGAAUGAAACAGGACGUGCCUUGUUGAGAUCAAAGGGCUUCUGUUACCUUCUUGUAAACUCAAAUGAAAUUCUUUUGAAAGUAAACUCUUGGAAUUAGCA
rnacentral:lncRNA from 10 species